rnacentral:tRNA from 1 species
CGGGAUAUGGCGUAGCCUGGUAGCGCGUCUGCUUUGGGAGCAGAAGGUCGUGUGUUCGAAUCACACUAUCCCGA